AUGACCGCGAGAUGCUACAACGAGCAAUGGCGGUUGCUACUAGUGAUGUCGAGACAAAGCUGCAACUUGCAUCGAAAAAGCUGGGACCGGCCACGGGCACAGCUGCAACCAGCAUCGACAAAAGCUGCAAUGGUGGCGACUAGGGGCGAGCCCAGUGAUACAACCGGCAAUGCCGUUUGCUACGACCGAUGUCAACAAAUGCUGCAACCAGUCACGGUGCUGAAACACCCUAGGCAGCGGUCUGCAAACGAUUACAACGGUGCUAUGAUCGCGGUCGGCGGGAGCUGGGACCGGCAUGGCCGUGCCUCGGCGGCGAGGCUUGACAACCAAGGCCAUGGCGGUGCCCUGGCAGCCAUGGCGACACCCCUCGCGAGGAGCUCGACGACCAUGGCCAAGGCGAUGGGGCGUUGGAAUGGCGUUGCAGGGAUGGCGUGCUGCGGGGCGUUAUCUUCAUUACUCCUUUGGAUCCAUAUUAAUUAUCGCCGAAUUAGUAUAAAAUUAGUACAAAGUUAUUGUCAGGACUCUGCUUCUCUGCAAUGCCUAACUGAAGAAGGAAACAGAAACUCUGAAGAAAUCAACACCGCGCUCGAACCGUUAUGCACUUGGGAAAUGGACGACCCAGAUGAAGCGUUCUGGCGAUCAACGGCUACCCAGCUCUCCUGUUCACAGUCACGCCAUUGCCGCCACCCACUGGACAGCUAUAGUAACGGAACGGCACGCGACAGCGACUCUACCUGCUCCGCCAGCUAUUAA
rnacentral:rRNA from 1 species